UAAUACAGAGGUGGCAAGCGUUGUUCGGAAUCACUGGGCAUAAAGGGCGCGUAGGCGGCGAUCCAAGUCAGGUGUGAAAGCCCUCAGCUCAACUGGGGAAUUGCGCCUGAUACUAGGUUGCUCGAGUGUAGGAGGGGAGAGUGGAACUCCUAGUGGAGCGGUGAAAUGCGUAGAGAUUAGGAGGAACGCCGGUGGCGAAAGCGACUCUCUGGCCUACUACUGACGCUGAGGCGCGAAAGCUAGGGGAGCAAACGGGAUUAGAUACCCCGGUAGUCCUAGCUGUAAACGAUGGGCACUAAGUAGGGGGGUUUUCGAUGAUCUCCCUGCCGGAGCUAAUGUAUUAAGUGCCCCGCCUGGGGAGUAUGGUCGCAAGGCUG
rnacentral:rRNA from 1 species